UACAGAGGGUUGCCAACCCGCGAGGGGGAGCUAAUCUCUUAAAACGCAUCGUAGUCCGGAUCGUAGUCUGCAACUCGACUACGUGAAGCUGGAAUCGCUAGUAAUCGCGGAUCAGCAUGUCGCGGUGAAUACGUUCCCGGGUCUUGUACACACCGCCCGUCACACCAUGGGAGUGGGUUUUGCCAGAAGCAGUUAGCCUAACCGUAAGGAGGGCGAUUGCCACGGCAGGGUUCAUGACUGGGGUGAAGUCGUAACAAGGUAGCCGUAUCGGAAGGUGCGGCUGGAUCACCUCCUUUCUAG
rnacentral:rRNA from 1 species